rnacentral:lncRNA from 1 species
GGAUAUGAAAAGAUAGAUGCAUGUCAUAAUGAUUGCAUACUUUUCAAUAAGGAGGACUAAUUGAAGAGCUCAUAUGUCGUAUGGGGUGAAAGCCAAUUUAAAUCGAGAUAAUAGGAUAGGAAUCAAAAAGACAUACCAUACAAGGUUCUUCGAUAACUUCUCCUUACUCCUAGACUUUAGAGGCUCUAUUUGUCCAAGAGUACUAUCGG